CAGUGCCGGGGAAAACGGAGGGGGCUAGCGUUGUUCGGAAUUACUGGGCGUAAAGCGCACGUAGGCGGCUUGGUAAGUUAGAGGUGAAAGCCUGGAGCUCAACUCCAGAAUUGCCUUUAAGACUGCCGAGCUAGCAGGUGAGAGAGGUAAGUGGAAUUCCGAGUGUAGAGGUGAAAUUCGUAGAUAUUCGGAAGAACACCAGUGGCGAAGGCGGCUUACUGGCUCAUACUGGACGCUGAGGUGCGAAAGCGUGGGGAGCAAACAGGAUUAGAGACCCCAGUAGUCCUUGUCUCUUAUACAA
rnacentral:rRNA from 1 species